rnacentral:tRNA from 1 species
ACCUGGCUGGCUCGGCCGGUAGAGCUUGCGACUCUUGAUCUCAGGAUCAUGAGUUCGAGACCCAUGUUGGGUG